rnacentral:rRNA from 1 species
AGAGACAGCAGCCGCCGCGGUAAUACGAAGGGUGCAAGCGUUACUCGGAAUUACUGGGCGUAAAGCGUGCGUAGGUGGUGGUUUAAGUCCGUUGUGAAAGCCCUGGGCUCAACCUGGGAAUUGCAGUGGAUACUGGGUCACUAGAGUGUGGUAGAGGAUAGUGGAAUUUCCGGUGUAGCAGUGAAAUGCGUAGAGAUCUGGAGGAAUACCGAUGGCGAAGGCAGCCAUCUGGCCUAACACUGACGCUGAGGUACGAAAGCAUGGGGAGCAAACAGGAUUAGAUACCCCCGUAGUCCCUGUCUCUUAUAC